AGCUGAACCUGCCGGUGAAGGUCCCACAUCCAGGACUGAGGCUCUGGGAGAUGCUGAGGGUCCUCCAAAAGGAAAGACCGAAGUUUUUGCCGCCAAAAAGUCUCAUGACUCAGAUGAAUUCCUGAGACAAACACAGAAGGAAGCACCCGGAGGACAAGUGAUGGACCAAAAGGCUGUUCAGGAGGAGGAACACUCAGGGAGAAGCAGUGGCUCACUGGCAGCCCCUGCUGCAGGAAGGAAGGCGAUGCCAGACACGGGCACAG